rnacentral:rRNA from 1 species
AGUGGACGCGAGCAUCUUUGUGGCCAAGUUAGUUAGGGCACACGGUGGAUGCCUUGGCAUCAGGAGCCGAUGAAGGACGUGGGAGGCUGCGUUAAGCCUCGGGGAGUCGCCAACCAGACGUUGAUCCGGGGAUGUCCGAAUGGGGAAACCUAGCACCAGUCAUGUGGUGUUGCCGCCGUCUGAAUGUAUAGGGCGGUUGGUGGUAACGCGGGGAAGUGAAACAUCUCAGUACCCGUAGGAGAAGAAAACAAAUAGUGAUUCCGUGAGUAGUGGUGAGCGAAAGCGGAGGAGGCUAAACCGUGCGCGUGUGAUAGCCGGCGGGCGUUGCGUGUGCGGGGUUGUGGGACCUUCCGGGGGAGACCGCCGUCUCUUCAAGCAGUGAGAAAUCGGUGGGGUAGUCGAACGCUCUGGGAAGGGCGGCCGUAGACCGUGAUAGCCGGGUAGGCGAAAUUCUGCCGACUGCUGGGAGUGUUCCCGAGUAGCACGGGGCUCGAGGAAUCCUGUGUGAAUCUGCCAGGACCACCUGGUAAGCCUAAAUACUUCCUGAUGACCGAUAGUGAACGAGUACCGUGAGGGAAAGGUGAAAAGCGCCCCGGUGAGGGGUCGUGAAAUAGUACCUGAAACCGUGUGCCUACAAGCCGUAGGAGCGUAGUCGCCUUUGGGCGGCUGUGAUGUGACUGCGUGCCUUUUGAAGAAUGAGCCUGCGAGUUAUGGUGUGUGGCGAGGUUAACCCGUGUGGGGGAGCCGUAGCGAAAGCGAGUCUGAAUAGGGCGUUUGAGUCGCAUGCUGUAGACCCGAAGCGGGGUGAUCUACGCAUGGGCAGGUUGAAGCGUGGGUAAGACUGCGUGGAGGACCGAACCCACCAGGGUUGAAAACCUGGGGGAUGACCUGUGUGUAGGGGUGAAAGGCCAAUCAAACUCCGUGAUAGCUGGUUCUCCCCGAAAUGCAUUUAGGUGCAGCGUUGCGUGUUGCUUGCCGGAGGUAGGGCUCUGGAUGGCUGAUGGGCCCGACAAGGUUACUGACGUCAGCCAAACUUCGAAUGCCGGUAAGUUGAGCGUGGCAGUGAGACUGCGGGGGAUAAGCUCCGUGGUCGAGAGGGAAACAGCCCAGAUCACCGACUAAGGCCCCUAAGCGUGUGCUAAGUGGGAAAGGAUGUGGAGUCGCAGUGACAACCAGGAGGUUGGCUUAGAAGCAGCCAUCCUUGAAAGAGUGCGUAAUAGCUCACUGGUCAAGUGAUUCUGCGCCGACAAUGUAGCGGGGCUCAAGUACACCGCCGAAGUCGUGGCACCGC